AUUGAACGCUGGCGGCAUGCCUUACACAUGCAAGUCGAACGGUAACAGGUCUUCGGAUGCUGACGAGUGGUGAACGGGUGAGUAAUACAUCGGAACGUGCCCGAUCGUGGGGGAUAACGAAGCGAAAGCUUUGCUAAUACCGCAUAAGAUCUAAGGAUGAAAGCAGGGGACCGCAAGGCCUUGCGCGAACGGAGCGGCCGAUGGCAGAUUAGGUAGUUGGUGGGAUAAAAGCUUACCAAGCCGACGAUCUGUAGCUGGUCUGAGAGGACGACCAGCCACACUGGGACUGGGACACGGCCCAGACUCCUACGGGAGGCAGCAGUGGGGAAUUUUGGACAAUGGGCGAAAGCCUGAUCCAGCCAUGCCGCGUGCAGGAUGAAGGCCUUCGGGUUGUAAACUGCUUUUGUACGGAACGAAAAGACUCUUUCUAAUAAAGAGGGUCCAUGACGGUACCGUAAGAAUAAGCACCGGCUAACUACGUGCAGCCGCCGCGGUAA
rnacentral:rRNA from 1 species